UACGAAGGGGGCUAGCGUUGUUCGGAAUUACUGGGCGUAAAGCGCACGUAGGCGGAUUGUUAAGUCAGAGGUGAAAUCCCGGAGCUCAACUUCGGAACUGCCUUUGAUACUGGCAAUCUAGAGUCCGGAAGAGGUUAGUGGAAUUCCCAGUGUAGAGGUGAAAUUCGUAGAUAUUGGGAAGAACACCGGUGGCGAAGGCGGCCAACUGGACCAUUACUGACGCUGAGGCGCGAAAGCGUGGGGAGCAAACAGG
rnacentral:rRNA from 1 species